GCAACAGGUCUUGCUCACUCAUUGUUUGGUGGUUCGGUGGGCCCCGCCCACAAGCAACCAACUGUCAUUGAGUGACGUUUGUUGUCCUGCUUGGUUAUUGGCCAGCACUGCAGUGGGCCCUGCCCAUCAGUUAACUGUCAAUGAAGAACCACUGGGACACAGCAUAACAUUCAUCUGGUAGAGAGGUACAGGGACAUCAUUACCUGACCAUAACCGGACCUCAAGAACAAAGGUUCUGACACUGAGAAGUCUCCAACAACUAACCAUGUCCAUCCCUCACCUAUUGCUUUUAAAGCGACCUGCUGAAAGCUUUCAGUAACUCAGGUUCUUAGGGCAUGAGCAACCCAUCUCCUUGUACGAAUCUGUAAUAAACCUUUCUCUGUUCCAAACUUUUAA